rnacentral:rRNA from 1 species
AUGUAUGAGGGCAAAGAUCAGCCGUUAUUGAUGCUGACAGCCAAUAGACAAUUCACUGUGAAAUCGCUAUAUCAACAGCUGAUUAGAACAAACGUGGGUCUCCCACACAAAUUUCUCUGGAAGGUGAAAACCCCAGCGAAAAUCAAGAUGUUUCUAUGGCUGAUUGCCAGGAAAAGUAUACUAACCAGAGACAAUCUUGCAAAAAAAGGGUGGAAAGGGGAUAAAAGAUGUGUUUUUUGUGGCCAAGAUGAAACAAUAGAUCAUCUUUUCUUCUCUUGCUCCGCUGCAAGAUUGUUCUGGAGCUUGAUAAAGUGUUUAUUCAAUCUAGAAACAACUCCAGGGGGGUUGAUGAUUGUCUGGGCGCAUGGAUCAGGAGAUCCAAAAAAGAGGAUAAAAAACUGGUGUUGGUUGGAAUGUCAGCAAUUCUCUGGGCUAUUUGGAAAUGUCGAAAAUGAUAUAAUUUUUCGAGAUAAAUUGAUCAAUGAUCCCAUGAAGUUGGUUAAACUAACCCGCAACUGGAGUGUGGAUUGGGCUGUUUUGCAGAGAAAAAACCCAAGACAAAACCUACUGAUGUUGGGGGCAAGGCUAAUCGAGCAAGUAGCAAGUAAGGUCUACAAAGCGUCGCAGGGGUGGAGAGCUGGAGUAAACCCGGGCAUGGGCAGCCCGGCCCGAUGA